rnacentral:rRNA from 1 species
AGCAGCCGCGGUAAUUCCAGCUCCAAUAGCGUAUAUUAAAGUUGUUGCAGUUAAAAAGCUCGUAGUUGAAUUUCGGGGUUCUUCCGUUGGUCGGGCUAUCCAGUCUGUACUAGCGUGUAGAAUUCCUACCUUCUGGGGAACCAUCAUGUUAUUAAUUUAGCGUGGCGGGAAACCAGGACCUUUACCUUGAAAAAAUUAGAGUGUUCAAAGCAGGCUUACGUCUGAAUACAUUAGCAUGGAAUAAUAGAAUAGGACGGUGGUCCUGUUUUGUUGGUUUCUGAAUCACCGUAAUGAUUAAUAGGGAUAGUUGGGGGCAUUAGUAUUCAAUUGUCAGAGGUGAAAUUCUUGGAUUUAUUGAAGACUAACUACUGCGAAAGCAUUUGCCAAGGAUGUUUUCAUUAAUCAAGAACGAAAGUUAGGGGAUCGAAGACGAUCAGAUACCGUCGUAGU